rnacentral:rRNA from 1 species
GAAUCCGAUCAUACCAGCACUAUAUGCACCGGAUCCCAUCAGAACUCUGAUAAGUGAAGCGGCUUGGGCGAGAGUAAGUACUAGGAUGGGUACCCCUGGGAAGUCAAUCGUGUUGCAUCCC